CCCUGGUGGCCUUGGAAUGUGGCUGCAGGGCCUGCCCCCUCCCUGCUGCGGCCCUCCUGCCCUCCAGGACAGCCUGUGCUGGACCCUCCUGUGCACCCGUGGGAAACACGGGUCCCACCUGACUCCUCCAUCAGGCCAGAGCAGAAACAGUCCAGCCAUGACACACACCCUGAAAGCACAGCCAAGCAGGGAGCAGAGCAGGACCCCGCGGGGGCCAAGGCGUGUUCCAGAUGGAGUUAGAGGAGGAAUCAAGGCCCUGGGGCCGAUGCCACAGUGAUUACAUGUCAGCAUGGGAUCGACGCCCUGCUCCUGGGCUGUGCCCCAGCCAGCCAGCCUCCAGACACAGCCCAGCUCGGCCAAGGCAGUUUGGAUGGCAGUUAAACUCAAUAAAUAAAUUACCGAAGAAUGUGCAAAACUCUGCUGAAGAGCCACGGCCAAGUGUAUGCUCACGCGAGCAAUGACAGCGGUGUGGGACUGCCACCUGAGAACCGGCGAUCACAAGACACUUUUGGUUGUAGCGCAGCUCCAUCUCAGAGAGGGGAAGAUGAGAAAAAAAUGUGUCUUCCUGAGGCUGGAGAAGGGAGGAACUGGGAAUGACUGCUUCCUACGCGUGGGGUUUCUUUUUGGGGUGAUGAAAAUGUUCUGGAACUAGAUAAUGGUGAUGGCUGCACACUUGUGAAUGGACUAAAUGCCACUGGAUUGUAC
rnacentral:lncRNA from 1 species